rnacentral:rRNA from 1 species
GAUGAACGCUGACAGAAUGCUUAACACAUGCAAGUCUACUUGAAUUUGGGUCCUAGACUUAGAUUUGGGUGGCGGACGGGUGAGUAACGCGUAAAGAACUUGCCUCACAGUUAGGGACAACAUUUGGAAACGAAUGCUAAUACCUGAUAUUAUGAUUAUACGGCAUCGUAUAAUUAUGAAAGCUAUAUGCGCUGUGAGAGAGCUUUGCGUCCCAUUAGCUAGUUGGAGAGGUAACGGCUCACCAAGGCGAUGAUGGGUAGCCGGCCUGAGAGGGUGAACGGCCACAAGGGGACUGAGACACGGCCCUUACUCCUACGGGAGGCAGCAGUGGGGAAUAUUGGACAAUGGACCAAGAGUCUGAUCCAGCAAUUCUGUGAGCACGAUGACGUUUUUCGGAAUGUAAAGUGCUUUCAGUUGGGAAGAAAAAAAUGACGGUACCAACAGAAGAA